rnacentral:rRNA from 1 species
GACGAACGCUGGCGGCGUGCUUAACACAUGCAAGUCGAACGGAAAGGCCCUGCUUUUGUGGGGUGCUCGAGUGGCGAACGGGUGAGUAACACGUGAGUAACCUGCCCUUGACUUUGGGAUAACUUCAGGAAACUGGGGCUAAUACCGGAUAGAAGCUGCUGCUGCAUGGUGGGGGUUGGAAAGUUUCGGCGGUUGGGGAUGGACUCGCGGCUUAUCAGCUUGUUGGUGGGGUAGUGGCUUACCAAGGGUUUGACGGGUAGCCGGCCUGGGAGGGUGACCGGCGACAUUGGUCCUAAGAGAGGGACCAGUCUCGUACAGGGGACAGCGGUCGGAAGUAUUGCCCAGUCGGCGCGAGCCUGAUAAGGAGGCGCCGGGUGCGGGAUGACCGCCUUCGGGGUAUGAACCGCAUUAGGCUGUGACGAAGCGUGAGUGACGGUACUGAGAAAAGAAGCACCGGCUAACUACGUG